rnacentral:rRNA from 1 species
UACGUAGGUGGCAAGCGUUGUCCGGAAUUAUUGGGCGUAAAGCGCGCGCAGGUGGUUCUUAAGUCUGAUGUGAAAGCCCACGGCUCAACCGGUGGAGGGUCAUUGGAAACUGGGGAACUUGAGUGCAGAAGAGGAAAGUGGAAUCCAAGUGUAGCGGUGAAAUGCGUAGGAGAUUUGGAGGAACACCAGUGGCGAAGGCGGACUCACUGGCC